rnacentral:tRNA from 1 species
UGGCUCAGAUGGUAAAGUGUCUGCCUGCAAUGCAGAAGACCUGGGUUUGAUCCCUG